rnacentral:lncRNA from 1 species
CUAACGGUUCCCAAACAGCCCCCGAAAACGCUACGUGAGUUGGGCCCUGGGCCAGAGGCAGAAAACGGACGGAAGAAAAGGAGAUGGGUCUCACUCUGUCACCCAGACUGGAGUGCAGUGAGUGGUGCGAUCAUAGCUCACUGCAGCCUGAAACUCCUGGGCUCAAGUGAUCCUCUCGCCUCAGCCUCCUGAGUAGCUGGAGCUACAGGUGUGAGCUACCCAGCAUGGCUCAUUUGAGAUUUCUGAGUAGAGAAGUAACAUGAUUAAACUUGGG